rnacentral:lncRNA from 1 species
AGGCGGUGAACGGUUCACCGCCUUCAUUAGGUAUAACCCGUCGCAACAGCUCUCUUUCUCACGCCCGCUUUUGCUUUCUCUAUCUCUCUUUCUCUCUCUCUCUCUCUCUCUCUCUCUGCCUUUCUCUCUAUAGGAGCGCUCGCCGGUCGCCCCCGCCCCUACCGUCGCCGCCUCCGCCGGUCGCCGAUUGUCGUCGCCCUCUCGGUCGCCCCUGCCAACCCCGCCACCUUCCUCAGCAACCCACAUUGCAGGUAGCUCCAUGGCUCCCUGCCGAAUUUUCUCAAAAUAUUUAGUUGAAUUUUUCAGUUUAUUAAGUUAGAUUUUUAUUAAAUUUUAUUACUCAAUUUGCUAUUAGAUGUAAAUUAGUUUAAAUAAACUAUUAAGUUUAAUAGUUGG